AGCGAACGCUGGCGGCAGGCCUAACACAUGCAAGUCGAACGAACUCUUCGGAGUUAGUGGCGGACGGGUGAGUAACACGUGGGAACGUGCCUUUAGGUUCGGAAUAACUCAGGGAAACUUGUGCUAAUACCGAAUGUGCCCUUCGGGGGAAAGAUUUAUCGCCUUUAGAGCGGCCCGCGUCUGAUUAGCUAGUUGGUGAGGUAAAGGCUCACCAAGGCGACGAUCAGUAGCUGGUCUGAGAGGAUGAUCAGCCACAUUGGGACUGAGACACGGCCCAAACUCCGACGGGAGGGAGCAGUGGGGAAUCUUGCGCAAUGGGCGAAAGCCUGACGCAGCCAUGCCGCGUGAAUGAUGAAGGUCUUAGGAUUGUAAAAUUCUUUCACCGGGGACGAUAAUGACGGUACCCGGAGAAGAAGCCCCGGCUAACUUCGUG
rnacentral:rRNA from 1 species